AGCUUGCUCCUCUGACGUUAGCGGCGGACGGGUGAGUAACACGUGGAUAACCUACCUAUAAGACUGGGAUAACUUCGGGAAACCGGAGCUAAUACCGGAUAAUAUAUUGAACCGCAUGGUUCAAUAGUGAAAGACGGUUUUGCUGUCACUUAUAGAUGGAUCCGCGCCGCAUUAGCUAGUUGGUAAGGUAACGGCUUACCAAGGCAACGAUGCGUAGCCGACCUGAGAGGGUGAUCGGCCACACUGGAACUGAGACACGGUCCAGACUCCUACGGGAGGCAGCAGUAGGGAAUCUUCCGCAAUGGGCGAAAGCCUGACGGAGCAACGCCGCGUGAGUGAUGAAGGUCUUCGGAUCGUAAAACUCUGUUAUUAGGGAAGAACAAAUGUGUAAGUAACUAUGCACGUCUUGACGGUACCUAAUCAGAAAGCCACGGCUAACUACGUGCCAGCAGCCGCGGUAAUACGUAGGUGGCAAGCGUUAUCCGGAAUUAUUGGGCGUAAAGCGCGCGUAGGCGGUUUUUUAAGUCUGAUGUGAAAGCCCACGGCUCAACCGUGGAGGGUCAUUGGAAACUGGAAAACUUGAGUGCAGAAGAGGAAAGUGGAAUUCCAUGUGUAGCGGUGAAAU
rnacentral:rRNA from 1 species